AAACAAAAUGAUCCGUGUCUGCUCUGGGUGACAUCUGUCCACUCGGACAGUCACUUGCUUUUGGAGAAGGCACAGACUAAGAAUGAGAUGUUUUCUUUUCGUUUCCAGAAAGCUGUUUGGAAGGAUCCUCCCAGAGCCAGGCUCUGAUGUGAUAACAAGAAGACCUCAGCAACGGACAGCUUAACAGGGAAAAUCUCCAAGGCGAAUGUCACUGCAAAUGAGGGACAGCUGUGAAGCAACUGCUGCAGAAAAAUUUCCCAUCUUGUCUCACAUGAGUCAACAAAAUUCUGCAAAAGCAUCAUGAAAUGUCAGUGAGCACAUUUCUGCCACCAGGGCCCAGGAGAUGAUGAUGGCGGUACUGGAGAGAGGAGGGACACCGAAGGAAGUCAUCUACUUGGCCACAGAAGAGCACACAGAAUCAAAACAACCCCAGAGCUGGAAAGGUGCUCCAGGACCCUGAACACACCAGCAGGCCCUCCCCAGUGGACCUUCACCCUCCUGCCUUGACCUCCCACGUGCCACGUCCACACGUGAGUCUCCGAAGCCUGCUGUCCUGGGAGAGGACACACACCCAGGAUGAAAGCAAGCUACUCGCAAACACUGAUGCAGAAAAAGAUCUAGCCACCCUUUUGUUUUACGAACCAGUUACUGGGGAUUUCUUGUGCCCUUGCUUCCAGGGGCUCUCUCAGGAGGUCACAGCCUGCCUUUGCUUGUUGAGCGUCAGUCUCCCUGGCACCCAUUUCUUCAGGGAUACCACAGCCAUUGUUUCCAGAAGCACAGAUGAUUUUUGUUCAUGUGCGCUAAGCCUGAGGCUUAACCAUACACCUGAGGUUGGGGAGGACGCACCUUUACAGAGGCCUUUUGGGGCUCGGCUUCCAUGAUGCCUACCGCAGUGUCAGGAAUGUGCCAGGCAGCUGCAGGCCUGUGGGAACAGGACUGGCAUUGGGCAGGGGUUACAAACACAUUUUAAAAGUAGGAAAGGAGUACAUGCCUGCUUAAAGAUAUUCACAUAAUAUGAAAAUAUUUUAAGUAAAGAUAUUCACAUAAUAUGAAAAUAUUUUAAAGUUAAAAGUAAUAAUUCUUAUUCCCUUAGGUGAAAUUGCUGGGAAUGGCUUGAUUUAUGGCCUUUAAAUCCUAGGUGUUUGUGGGUCCCCUGACAUUGAAAUAUGCAUUUUAACAAGUUCACUGGGCAAUGCUUAUGCACCCUAAAGUUUGAUCUUGUCCUUGACCUUUCUGUUAACACCAAAUGUGUACAUAUGCAUAUAGUUUUGCAUACACAUAUUUGUUGAAAUUAAACACAUACAUGUAGAAAAGGACUCAUACAACACAAACUGAAUGAAACUUAUUUUAUUUUGGUUUUGGUACUGGGGAUUGAACCCAGGGCUACUUUACCACCAAGCUACAUCCCCAGUCCUUUUUUUUUUUUUUUUUUUUUUGAGACAGGGUCUUGCUGAGGGGCUCACUAAGCGCCAAGGAGGCUGUCCUUGAACUUGGAAUCUCCUGCCUCAGCCUCCCCCAUCACUGGAAUUACCAUUUAAGUUAUCUAUGACUUGUAUUCCUCCUUGCUCCAUACAACAAAGUUCCUAAAGUCUCCCCUAAGGUGGUAGUUGUGAGGAUUGGUUGCAGCCAAUGUUCCCAUUUAUCUGUAAGUACUUAUGCACCUGAAAGCAUCUUCAUGAGGGAAAGGGUGCAAUUAGAAUCAAUGGUUACCUAAUAAUGAACACUCAGUUGUGUUCUGACUGGCCUCACACUUUGGGGUCCAAAAAUAUGAUAUUUUAAGACAAACUUCCCAUGUUCCAACUGGAGCAUAGAAGGGGUGCGGUUUGUAUUUAUGGGGGCUAUUUAAGCAACAAUCCACAAUCUAAGGAUGCAGAUUAGUGUGGUGCCUACUCUGGUCAAUUAUUGCCAUGAUAUAAAAACAAAAUUUGAAUCUGCUUUAGAGAAUAUAUCCUCAAACUGUGUUGGACUUUUUUCCUUUUGAUUUUUAAUUUUGACAUAAUUUUGACAUAGACACCUUGGAAGUAUAAAAUAGUAUAAAUAGUAUAAAAUGUUUUACUUAUGUACCCAAAAUGUUUUUACCAUUUAUCACAUUUGUUUUAUACACAUACACACAAUUUUGUCCUGAAUCCUUUGAGAAUCAAUGUUACUAAUAUGAUCAACUUCUCCCAGUUUCUCUGGGACUUUCCAGAUUUUAACAUUGGGAGUCCAUCUCAGGGAAACCAAAUGAUUGGUCCCCAUGUUUGCAGCCAAUGUGCCCAUUUACCUGUAAGUACUUAGGCAUCUGUUCUGAAAACAAGGACAUAACCACUGUACUGUGACUGGAAUCUGGAAAUUAGCUUUGAAACAAAAUGCUAUUCAAUCUAUGAACUUGGUGUGGGUUUUGUCGACCUUCCCAACAGAGUUCUUUAUGAAAGCGAAGUCCCAGAUCAUUGCUGUAUUCAUUUGUCAUGUUUCUUCUCUGGUUCAGUUCCUCAGUCUUUAUCUGCCAUGACCUUGAUGUUUGUGAAGAUUAUAGCCAAAUAUUAUGUGUUCUGUCCCUCAGUCUGUGUUUGUUUGAUGUGUUCUCAUGAUUGAUUCCAGCUAUUUAUCUUUUGGGCAGGAAAAUCACAGGAAUCAGGUCCAUGGUGUUGCUUGAUCUCAUCAGGUGUAUGAACUGUGGUUACCUGAUCGAGGCACUUUCUGUCAGCUUUCUCCACUGUGCAGUUGCCAUGUUCCUCUUUGUAAUUAAUGGAGUGUUGUGGAGAGAUAUCGGAGAUUAUGUAGAUAUCCUACUUCACAUUAAUCUCUCCCACUUUUGUAUUCACUGAUGACUUUUGCCAAGUCAGUUAUCUUUCUGAUAGGUUGGACUUCCUGUUUGAAAAUGUUUAAUGGAUUCUUUAUAUUAAAAAAAAAGUACACGGGUUUAUGGAGGAGAUCACAGUUAGGGUACAAUGUAGCAACUGCUCUAUUAGGAGAAAGUAAAGCAGGGGUUGGCCACCUAAAAGCCCCUAGGUCAAAUCUAGCCCAACACCUGUUUUUAUAAAUAAAGUUUUAUUGGAACAUGG